ACACUAACAAUCCUUCGGGUGCGUUAAUGGGCGUCGAGCGGCGGACGGGUGAGUAAUGCCUAGGAAAUUGCCUUGAUGUGGGGGAUAACCAUUGGAAACGAUGGCUAAUACCGCAUAAUGCCUACGGGCCAAAGAGGGGGAYCUUCGGGCCUCUCGCGUCAAGAUAUGCCUAGGUGGGAUUAGCUAGUUGGUGAGGUAAUGGCUCACCAAGGCGACGAUCCCUAGCUGGUCUGAGAGGAUGAUCAGCCACACUGGAACUGAGACACGGUCCAGACUCCUACGGGAGGCAGCAGUGGGGAAUAUUGCACAAUGGGCGAAAGCCUGAUGCAGCCAUGCCGCGUGUAUGAAGAAGGCCUUCGGGUUGUAAAGUACUUUCAGUUGUGAGGAAGGGGGURNYGUUAAUAGCRYYAUCUCUUGACGUUAGCAACAGAAGAAGCACCGGCUAACUCCGUGCCAGCAGCCGCGGUAAUACGGAGGGUGCGAGCGUUAAUCGGAAUUACUGGGCGUAAAGCGCAUGCAGGUGGUUCAUUAAGUCAGAUGUGAAAGCCCGGGGCUCAACCUCGGAACUGCAUUUGAAACUGGUGAACUAGAGUACUGUAGAGGGGGGUAGAAUUUCAGGUGUAGCGGUGAAAUGCGUAGAGAUCUGAAGGAAUACCA
rnacentral:rRNA from 1 species